rnacentral:lncRNA from 1 species
CGGACCCCUGCAAGCUGGAGCCCUCAGUCUGGAGGCCACAGACUUUGCAUUCAGAUCACCUGGGGGACAUUUAAAAAUACAGAUGCCCAGGCUGCCCACAGUGCUUGAGCCCAGGCAUCAGUAGUGUUUAAAGUUCCCAGGUGAUGGUAAUGUUCAGCCAGGACUGGGGGAGUAGCUUCCCGUCAUCUCUUUCUUCUCGAAUCUACUUUUAACCCCUGGGCUCAAAAACGGACACACCUGCCAGGGCCAAGAAGAGCGUCACAUGCAUGGAAUCACGCCACGUGCAGCCUCUUGAGCCAGCUGCUCCCUCUGCACGUGAUGCACCGUGACCCGUGCACGGUGAUCGGGUUUACUGCUGAGCAGUGCGUGCCCAACAGUCAUCAGCUCUCUGGCAGAAAGCCCCUCGGGUUGUUUCCAGUCUGGGGAGACUAUGAAGACACUAGGAGACAUUUACGUAGAGGUUUUCGUGCAAACAGAAGUUUCCCGUUUCACUUGGGUAAACGCUAGGAGUGGGACAGCUGGGCGGGACGGAACUUAUUCAGUCUCUGAAGAACGGAUUGGAGAAAGACCAGUGAGGCCUGUGAAAAGGCUCAUCCAGUGUCCAAGCCAGAGAUGGUGGCAGCUGGACCGCUGAGAGCACAGAGGGAGAAACAGACGGCUCUGAAGGCAGCCAACAGGACCCGAGGAGGAUUCGACAAUGAGAAGGGCCCCAGCCAACGAAUCUGAGACAAGUAGAGAGAAAAAGAAUUUUUUUCUUCUCCUGCACCUCGAAGGCAACUCACCUUGUGAGCCACCUAGAAAGACCCGUCCAGCACUUCCCAGGUUCCA